GACGAACGCUGGCGGCGUGCUUAACACAUGCAAGUCGAACGAUGAAGCCGGAGCUUGCUCUGGUGAAUUAGUGGCGAACGGGUGAGUAACACGUGAGUAACCUGCCCUUGACUCUGGGAUAACAGCGGGAAACUGUAGCUAAUACCGGAUACGACCCUCGGAGGCAUCUCCUGGGGGUGGAAAGAAUUUCGGUCAAGGAUGGACUCGCGGCCUAUCAGCUAGUUGGUGAGGUAAAGGCUCACCAAGGCGACGACGGGUAGCCGGCCUGAGAGGGUGACCGGCCACACUGGGACUGAGACACGGCCCAGACUCCUACGGGAGGCAGCAGUGGGGAAUAUUGCACAAUGGGCGCAAGCUUGAUGCAGCAACGCCGCGUGAGGGAUGACGGCCUUCGGGUUGUAAACCUCUUUUAGCAGGGAAGAAGCGAAAGUGACGGUACCUGCAGAAAAAGCACCGGCUAACUACGUGCCAGCAGCCGCCGUAA
rnacentral:rRNA from 1 species